UACAGAGGGUGCGAGCGUUAAUCGGAAUUACUGGGCGUAAAGCGUGCGUAGACGGUUCUGUAAGUCGGAUGUGAAAUCCCCGGGCUCAACCUGGGAAUGGCAAUGGAUACUGGCGGGCUAGAGUGUGGCAGAGGAUGGUGGAAUUCCCGGUGUAGCGGUGAGAUGCGUAGAGAUCGGGAGGAACAUCAGUGGCGAAGGCGGCCAUCUGGGACAACACUGACGCUGAAGCACGAAAGCGUGGGGAGCAAACAGG
rnacentral:rRNA from 1 species